rnacentral:rRNA from 1 species
UACGUAGGUGGCGAACGUUGUCCGGAAUUAUUGGGCGUAAAGCGCGCGCAGGUGGUUUCUUAAGUCUGAUGUGAAAGCCCACGGCUCAACCGUGGAGGGUCAUUGGAAACUGGGGAACUUGAGUGCAGAAGAGGAAAGUGGAAUUCCAAGUGUAGCGGUGAAAUGCGUAGAUAUCUGGAGGAACACCGGUGGCGAAGGCGGCGUUCUGGACUGCUACUGACACUGAGGAACGAAAGCCAGGGGAGCAAACGGG